GCACCGCGGGCAACGUUCCCGAGAUACUGCCUUUCCCUUAGGACCAGGCAGAGCCACGACUCCUAAGAUGCACUUGGGCAAUGACGUAACGUGGCGUCGCCAGGGCCUAACUACGAGCGGUUCCAUGGUAACGGUGAGGAGAGUGGUUGGGAGCUGCAGUCAUUUUGCUGCUACCUCAGACUGCUGUAGUCCGAAGGGAAGAGAAAGAGAGGAUAUAUAUCCUUGUCUUUGUAUAUUCAUAUCUUGGCUCUGACAGGAUGCAUUAAAGUGACUGACACUGGGGAGGAAAAUUGGGAACAAAGAUUGGCUGUUAACUAAUGUUCCUGUUGGCGAAAGUCCUACAAGAAUCCUUCUGGGCUCAAAGGGCAAAAGGAUUGAAGGUGGUGGUUUACCUGCCCUGAGGCAAUCCAUGGAGCCUUGGAGCCAAGUUUGGUUUGCCCAGCCCUAGUAACUGCUAGGCUUUUGUAUAUGAUAAAGGCAAUUGGAAGAUUAAGAAAAACUUAUGAAGUAACUGGGUGAGGAGAAGGAAAAAAAAAUAUAUUUUAAAACGGAUACGUGUAAACUGGAGAAAGGUCGCCUGAAGUGGAAUCACCAUGGCUGAGUGGCAACGUCCAAAGAAAAUUGAGCUGUCCUGGUUUCAGUUGCACACAUAUGAAUGCAGGCGGCCGCCUUUCUGAUGUGUAGUUUCUUGCGAUGAAGAAAAACUGCUGAAGUCAUGAGGCUGCUCCAAGCAGAGCCCUCAUGUGAGUCAUAUGAAAGCUCCAGCAUUGCUGACCUCUGGCAAAAAGGGAGUGAACAAGGAAGGAGAGGCAGAGGGAGAGAGGUUCAAGUGCCGGGUUUUCUCCUUGAACCUAGAAGAUUAUGGGCCAAGAGCUGUGUGCAAAGACUCUGCAGCCUGGAUGCAGCUGCCAUUGCUGUUGGGAGGGAGGAGAUGCACACAGCCGUCAGAGGAGUGCUCCGGUGAUGAUGGAGGCUGCGAUCAAGCUAACAGACCUAAAAGAAGCAUCAUGUUCCAUGACUUCAUUUCACCCCAGGGGACUUCAGGCUGUCCGUGCCCGGAAGUUCAAGAGUAAAAGGCCACGGAGUAACAGCGAUUCUUUUCAGGAAGAGGAUCUGAGUCAGGGUUUUCAGUGGAGGAAGAGCCUCCCCUUUGGGGCAGCCUCAUCUUACUUGAACUUGGAGAAGCUGGGUGAAGGUUCUUACGCUACAGUUUACAAGGGGAUUAGCCGGAUAAAUGGACAACUAGUGGCUUUAAAAGUCAUCAGCAUGAAUGCAGAGGAAGGAGUCCCAUUUACAGCCAUCCGGGAAGCUUCUCUCCUGAAGGGUUUGAAACAUGCCAAUAUUGUGCUGCUCCAUGACAUUAUCCACACCAAAGAGACACUGACAUUCGUUUUUGAAUACAUGCACACAGACCUGGCUCAGUAUAUGUCUCAGCAUCCAGGAGGGCUUCAUCCUCACAAUGUCAGGCUUUUCAUGUUUCAACUUUUGCGGGGCCUGGCGUACAUCCACCACCAACACGUUCUCCACAGGGACCUGAAACCUCAGAACUUACUCAUCAGUCACCUGGGAGAACUCAAAGUGGCUGAUUUUGGUCUUGCUCGGGCCAAGUCCAUUCCCAGCCAGACAUACUCUUCAGAAGUUGUGACUCUCUGGUACCGCCCUCCUGAUGCCUUGCUGGGAGCCACUGAAUAUUCCUCUGAACUGGACAUAUGGGGUGCAGGCUGCAUCUUUAUUGAAAUGUUCCAGGGUCAACCCUUGUUUCCUGGGGUUUCCAACAUCCUUGAACAGCUGGAGAAGAUCUGGGAGGUGCUGGGAGUCCCUACAGAGGAUAACUGGCCUGGAGUUUCCAAGCUACCUAACUACAAUCCAGAAUGGUUCCCACUGCCUAAGCCUCAGAGCCUUCAGAAUGUCUGCAACCGGUUAGACAGGGCUCCGGAAGCUGAAGACCUGGCCUCCCAAAUGCUGAAAGGCUUUCCAAGAGACCGUGUCUCCGCCCAGGAAGCACUGGUUCACAAUUAUUUCAGGGCCCUGCCUGCUCAGCUGCACCAACUUCCUGAUGUGGAGUCUUUAUUUACAGUUUCAGGAGUGAGGCUAAAACCAGAAAUGUGUGACCUUUUGGCCUCCUACCGGAAAGGUCACCACCCAGCCGGGUUUAGCAAAUGCUGGUGAAAAGAAAGGGCGAGAUCACCAAGAUUUUCCAGGGAGUCCUCUCCAGGCUGAGCUCUGGGAACCAUGAGGACCUGAUAGGGAGGGAGGACCCAUCCACAAAUGUCACAGACUCAGCUGCUCUCAGCAGUCUCCUCUGUCAGCCCAGGGCAACCCAGCCUUCCAAGGUAAUCUUGAAGAGGAAGGGGCGCUGUAGAGGACUUCCCCAAAGCUACCAUAUCCUAAAGAGUUCUGCUGGACUACCUGUAUUGCUGUUUCCAUUUUAAUUUGCUUCCACUUACUAAGAAGCUUCAAAUCUAACUCCACACUGGACCAAGGGUUUUAUACCAUCACCUGUGAUGUGGAAUAUUUUAAAUAUGAUGUCCAAGGCAACAGUGCAUAAUACUUGAGGAAAAAGCAAUGAAAGGUUAUUGCUGCUGUCAUUUGCCUAGAAUUUAACAGUGAUUGGCUCAAAAAAUUAGACAUAGAUUGAAAUCAUCUGAGAAGAGAACUUCUGAAUAAUUUCAUUCAUUUCGUUAUUUGAUAGAGUGAUCCUUGGGGCAGAAGGAGAACAGGACAGACGGGAGACAACAAUUGAAAGACUUUGGAGACAGAGCUGGUGCUUGCAGAGGCCUGUCACUCCUGUGGUCACUUACAAUUUCCCGCAACAAAAGGACUUCUGUGGCAAGGAGAGGAUUAGUCUAAAGUUUAGAAAAGUCUACAGGGAAGGUGGUUUCUUGGAUAAAGUUGUCAACGAAAGGAGUCUUGCUUAAGACUCUUUGUUAUGAUUUCCUAGGGGGCGCUUCUUCCUUCACUAACUGGAUUGUCAAAACACAUUACCACCCCAUCCCAGCCAGAUUUGGGGAGUUUGGAUUGAGCUGCUGGUUAGAAUUAAAUUUCAGGCUGUCUCCUUCUACUGAAUCCUAAUUGUCUGUGACGACAGCAAAAGUGAUGAGUAAUCUCAGCUCUGACUUGAUGGCAGAGAUACUGAAUAGAUAGAUAAGAGCAAAGAGUUCCAAAGUUGUAAUUCAAGUCCUGUUGCACCAUGAGAUACACAUGCUUGUGUGCACACACAUAAGCCUCAAAUAAAAUGAGAGAUCUGUCUCGGCUAACAUGUGUUUCAUUUUCUACAAUGGGUCCUUCUAAAAGAAGCUGGGGAAACUCAAAUUACUUCAUCUGGGGAUGAUCUACUCAGGAAAUGUAGUAGCCUAGAAACCAGAGACCGCUAUAUAGCCUUUAGAAGAACAAGGAGGACUAAUUAAGAGAGAAUUUAAAAAUAGUACCUAUGCACUCAGAGUCUGAGAUGGAAGGAGGAAAAAUGUACACAGAUGGUCCAAAGAAAUCUACCUUACCGAGUAUUUGAUUUUAGUAAGGCAUUUGACAAAGCCUGUCCAGAUAUACCUGAAAGAUGAAACUGUGUGGGCUGGGUGAUGAGGCAGAUCUAUGUGCUCAAAGAACAGUGGCCUUACUGGAGAAAGGCCAGCAGUGGUGUGGUACAAGUUUCAGCCCUAAGUCCUAUUCUGGUCAAAUGUUUUUAUUAUUAAUCACUUGAAUAAAACUGGAGAAGGCACACAGUUUAUUCGUAUAACUCAUUAAAGUAAGUACUGUUAUUACUCAUUUAUUACUUCCACUUUACAAAAGAGGAAACUGAGGCUCAGAGAAGUUAACUAACUCCUUUGUGGUAGGACAGCAGAGGUAAGGUACACACCUGAGGUCUGGCGGUCUCCAAUGUCUAUGAUCUUUCCAGUAAUCACAUACCUAUCAUAUCUGUAGCAUACACAACUCUUGAAGAGGCAGCUGACAUCUAGCAUUGGAUCAUGAUUCAAAAGCCUGAGAUCUUGCUAAAAGCUAAUGUGUAGCAUUACACACCUAUUAGAAUGGUCAAAUUCCAGAACACUGACAGCACCAAAUGCUGCCAGGGAUGUGGAGCAACAGGAACUCUCAUUGUUGGUGGAAGUGCAAAAGGGUACAGCCACUUUAGAAGACCGCUUGGCAGUCUCUUACAAAACUAAGCAUACUCUUACCAUAGACCCAGCAAUCAUGCUCCUUUGUAUUUACCCAAAGGAGCUGAAAAGUUAUGUCUACACAAAAACCUGCACGCAGAUGUUAAUAGCAGCUUUAUUCAUAAUCGCCAAAACUUUAAAACAACCAAGGUGUCCUUUUGUAGAUAAGUGGAUAAAUAGACUGUGGUACAUCCAGACAAUAGAAUAUUAUUCAACAGUAAAAAGAAAUGGAACGAUCAAGCCAUGAAAAGACAUGGAGGAACCCUAAAUGAAUAUUACUAAGUGAAAGAAGCCGAUCUGAAAGUCACAUACUACGUCAUUACAACUAUUUGACAUUCUGGAAAAGGCAAAACUAUAGAGACAGUAAAAAGAUCGUGGUUGCUAGGGGAAGGAGGGAAUGUUGAAUAGAUGGUGCACACAGGAUUUUCAGGACAGGGUAACUAUGUAUGAUACUAUAAUGGUGGAUACAGAUAUACACCAUUCAUCAAAAAUUUGUCCAAACCCAUGGAAUAUACAACACCAAGAAUGAAUCCUAAUGUAAAACGGACUUUGGAUGAUAAUGAUGAGUCAAUGUGGGUUCAUACAGUGUAACAAACGUAGCACUCUGUGGAGGCCGUUGGU